rnacentral:lncRNA from 1 species
GCAGUUGAAGAAAAACAUGAAGAACCAACUGUUGAAGAGAAACCUAGAGAACUAGCGGUUACGGAGAAACAUGAAGAACCAGCGAUUGAGGAAAAACCUGAAAAACCAGCUGUGGAAGAAAAACUUGAAGAACCAGAGGUCGAGGAGAAACAUGAAAAACCAGCAGCUGAAGAGAAACCUAAAGAACUAGUAGUUGAAGAAAAAGCUGAAGAACCAACACGGGAAGAAACACCGGAAGAACUAGAAUUUGAAGAGAAACCUGAAGAACCAACUGUUGAAGAAACACCUGAACAAUUAGCAGUUGAAGAGAAAUCUGAAAAACCAGUGGUUAAAGAGGAGAAAUCUGAAAAGGUAACUCUCUUGGAAAAGGUGAGGAUCAAGCACUAUCACAAAGUUUAUCCAUCCUAUUAGUUUUGUACGUGCAAAGAUUCAUAUCUACUUAUCUAUUGAAAGAUUAAGUGAAACUUUAAAUUCUUCUUGCAGAAUAUGUCAGUUGUAGAUUUCAAUGACAAGACUAACAGUGAAAUUCCAUGCAAUACCAACAAUGAUGUUGCCGACUAUGUAUCAGUUGAGGCAAACCUUGAAGAACCAGUAGUUGAAGAAAAACCUGAAGAACCAACGGUUGAGAAGAAACCUGAAGAACCAGCUGUUGAAGAGAAAUCUGAAAAACCAUCAAUUGAGGAGAAACGUGAAGCACCAGCAUUUGAGAAGAAACCUGAAGAACCAACAAUUGAGGAGAAACAUGAAGAACAAACAAUUGAAGAGGAGAAACCUGAAAGGGUAACUCUCCUGGAAAAGGUGAGGAUCAAGCAUUGUCACAAAGUUUAUCCAUCUUAUUAGUUGUGUAUACGAUACGAUUUACAUAUGCUUACCUACUGAAAGACUAAGUAAGACUUUAAAGUUCUUUUCUUGCAGAGUAUGCCAGUUGUAGUCUCGAACGACAAAACUGACAGUAAAAUUCCAAGCAUUACCAACAAUAAUGAUGCUCGCUUUUCAGAAGUUGAGGAAAACCCUGAAGAACCUGAAGUUAAAGAAAAACCUGAAGAACCAACAGUUGAGGAGAAACCAGAAGAACCAACAGCUGAAGAGAAACCUGAAGAACCAGCAACUAAAGAAAAACAAGUGCAGAUAGGGGAGGAAACAGCUGAAGAACUACCGCUUGAAGAGAAACCUGAAGAACUAACGAUUGAACAGACAGAUGAAAAACUAGUUGUUGAAAAUAAAACUGAAAAACCAGCAAAUAAAGAGGAGAAACCUGAAACGGUAACUCUCCUUAAGCAGUGUCACAGAGUUUAUCCAUCCUAUUAGUUCUAUAUGUGUAACGAAUUCAUAUCUGUUUAUCUAUUGAAAUACUAAGUGAAAAUUUAAAUUUUCUUGCAGAAUUUGCCUAUUGCAGACUCAAAGGACAAGACUGACAUUGCAAUUCCAUGCGAUACCAGCAAUGAUAUUGCUGACUAUGCAACAGUUGAGGAAAAACCUGAAGAACCAGUAGUUGAAGAAAAACAUGAAGAACCUGCAAUUGAAAAGAAAUUUGAAGAACCAGCAGUUAUGGAGAAACCUGAAGAACCAGCGGCAAAGGUAAAACCUGAAGAACCAGCAGGGAAAGAAAAACCUGAAGAGCCAACGGCUGGGGAAAAACCUGAAGAACCAGCAGCAAAUGAGGAACCUGAAAAAUCAGCGAUGAAAGAGAAACCUGAAGAACCAAUUGUUGAGGAGAAACUUGAAGAACCAACUGUUGAAGAGAAACCUGAAAAACCACUGAUUGAAGAAACACCUGAAGAACCAACAUGGGAAGAAACACCUAAAGAACUAGCAUUUGAAGAGAAACCAGAAGAACCAGCAGUUGAAGAGGAGAAACCUGAAAAGGUAACUCUUAUGGAAGAGGUGAGUAUCAAGCAUUAUCACAUAGUUUAUCCAUCUAUGUGCAACAAUUCACAUAUGCUUAUCUAUUGAAAGACUAAAUGAAACUUUAAAUUCUUCUUGCAGAAUAUGCCAGCUGUAGAUUUCAACGACAAGACUGACCGUGAAAUUCAAUGCAAUAACAAUGAUGUUGCUGAAUAUGUAGCAGUUGAGGAAAACCUUGAACCAGCAGUUGAAGAAAAACAUGAAGAACCAACAGUUGAGGAGAAACCUGAAGAACUAGCAGUUGAAGAGAAACCCGAAAAACCAACAAUUGAGGAGAAACCUGAAGAACUAGCAGUUGAAGAGAAACCCGAAAAACCAACAAUUGAGGAGAAACAUGAAGAACCAAUAGUUGAGAAGAAACCUGAAGAAUCAAUAAUUGAAAAGGAGAAAUCUGAAAGGGUAACUUUCCUAGAAAAGGUGAGGAUCAAGCAUUGUCAAAAGGUUUAUCCAUCUUAUUACUAUUAGUUGUGUAUGUGCAACAAUUCACAUCUGCUUACCUAUUGAAAGACCAAGUGAAACUUCAAAAUUCUUCUUGCAGAGUAUGCUAGUUGUAGACUCGAACGACAAGACUGACAGUGAACUUCCAUGCAAUACCAACAACGAUGCUGCCCACUUUCCAGAAGUUGAGGGAAACCCCGAAGAACCAGCAAUUGAAGGAAAAUCUAAAGAACUUGUUGAUGAAGAGACACCUGAUGUACCAGUGGUUGAGAAACCUGAAAAACAAAUGGUUGAGGAGAAACUUGAAGAACCAAUGAUUGAGGAGAAAUCUGACGAACUAGUCGAGGAGAAAUCUCAACAACCAGCGGCUGAAAAGAAACCUGAAGAACCAGCAGCUAAAGAAUCACCUAAAGAGGUAGCAGGGGAGGAAACAUCUGAAGAACUAGCACUUGAAGAGAAACUUAAAGAACCAACAGUUGAAGAGAUACCUAAAGAACUAGUUCUUGAAGAUAAACCUGGAAACCCAGAAAAUGAAGAGGAUAAACUUGAAACAGUAACUCUCCAGGAAAAGGUAAGAAACAAGCAGUGUCACAGAGUUUAUCCAUCCUAUUAGCUCUAUAUAUGCAACGAAUUCACAUCUGUUUAUCCACUGAAAGACCAAGUGAAACUUUAAAUUUUCUUGCAGAAUUUACCAAUUGCAGACUCAAAGGACAAGACUGACAAUGCAACUCCCUACAACAACAAUGAUAUUGCUGACUAUGUAGCAGUUAAGGAAAAAACUGAAGAACCAGUAGUUGAGGAAAAACAUGAAGAACCGGCAAUUGAAGAGAAAUCUGAAGAAUCAGCAUUAAUGAAAAAAACUGAAGAACCAGCGGUUGAGGUAAAACCUGAAGAACCGUCAGUGGAAAAGAAGCCUGAAGAACCAGCGGUUAGGAAAAAACCUGAAGAACCAGCAGUUAAUGAGGAACCUGAAAAAUCAGCAACGGAAGAGAAACCUGAAGAACCAAUUGUUGAGGAGAAACUUGAAGAACCAACUCUUGAAGAGAAACCUGGAAAAUCAGUAAUUGAAGAAACACCUGAAGAACCAACACUGGAAGUAACACCUAAAGAACAAGCGUUUAAAGAGAAACCAGAAGAACCAGCAGUUGAAGAGGAAAAAUCUGACAAGGUAACUCUUUUGGAAAAGGUGAGCAUCAAACAUUGUCACAAAUUUUAGCCAUCCUACUAGUUCUGUAUGUGCAAUAAUUCGUAUCAACUUAUCUAUUGAAAGACUAAGUGAAACUUUAAUUCUUCUUGCAGAAUAUACCAGUUGUAGAUUUCAAUGAUAAGACUGACAGUGUAAUUCCAUGCAAUACCAACGACGAUGUUGCUGAAUACGUAGCAGUUGAGGAAAACCUUGAAGAACCAACAGUUGAGGAGAAACCUGAAGAAUUAGCGGUUGAAGAGAAACCUGAAAAACCAGCAAUUGAGGAGAAAAGUGAAGAACCAAUAAUUGAGAAGAAACCUAAAGAACCAGCAGUUGAGGAGAAACCUGAAGAACAAACCGUUGAAGAGAAACUUGAAGAACCAACAAUUGAAGAUGAGAAACUUGAAAGGGUAACUCUCCUAGAAAAGGUGAGGAUCUAGCAUUGUCACAAAGUUUGUCCAUCCUAAUAGUUUUAUAUGUGCAAGCUUUUCAGAUCUGCUUAUCUAUUGAAAGACUAAGUGAAACUUUAAAUUCUUCUUACAGAAUAUGCCAGUUGUAGACUCGAACGACAAGACUGACUGUGAAAUUCCAUGCAACACCAACAAUGAUGUUGCUUACUAUCCAGCAGUUGAGGAAAAUCUUGAAAAAACAACAAUUGAGGAAACAACUGAUGAACCAGUGGUUGAAGAGAAACCUGAUGCACAAGCGAUUAAGGAGAAACCUGAAGUACCAACGAUUGAGCAGAAACUUGAAGAGUUAGCAGGAGAGGAAACCCAUGAAGAACUAGCAGUUGAAGAGAAGCUAGAAGAACCAAUUACUGAAGAGACACCUGCAGAACUAGUUAUUGAAGAGAAACAUGAAAACCCAACAAUUGAAGAGGAGAAACCUGAAACAGAAGCUCUCCUAAAGAAGGUUAGGAUUAAACACUGUUUCAAAAUUUAUCCAUCCUAUUAGCUUUAUAUGUGCAAGGAACUCACAUAUGUUAAUCUACUGAAAGACUAAGUCAAACUUUCAAGUUUUCUUGCAGAAUAUGCCAAUUGUAGACUCAAAGGACAAGAUUGACGUUGAAAGUCCAGGCAAUAACAACAAUGAUGGUGCUGACUAUCCAGCAGUUGAAGAUAAACCUGAAGAACUAACAGUUGAAGAAAAACAUGAAGAACAAGCAAUUGAAGAGAAACCUGAAGAACCAGUGGCCACAGAGAAACCUGAAGAACCAGCGAUUAAGGAAAAAGCUGAUGAACCAGCAGUGCAAGAGAAACCUGAAGAACCAGCUGUGGAAAAGAAACCUGAAGAACCAGCAGUCGAGGAGAAACUUGACGAACCACCAGUUGAAGAGAAAUCAGAAGAACCAGUAGUUGAACAAACACCUGCAGGACCAGCAUGGGAAGAAACAUCUAAAGAACUAGCAUUUGAAGAGAAACCUGAAGAACCAGCAGUUGAAAAAACACCUGAAGAACUAGCAGUUGGAAAGAACCCUGAAAAAACAGCAGUCGGAGAGAAACAUGAAAAAGUAACUCUCUUGGAAAAGGUGAGGAUCAAGCACAAUCACAAAUUUUAUCCAUCCUAUUAGUUAUGUAUGCGCAACAAUUCACAUUUGCCUGUUGGAAGAUUAAGUUAAACUUUAAAUUCUUCUUGCAGAAUAUACCAAUUAUAGAGUUAAACGAGAAGAAUAACAGUGCAACUCCAUGCAAUACCAACAAUGAUGUUGCUGACUAUCCAGCAGUUGAGGAAAAACCUGAAGAACCAGCGAUUGAGAAAAAACCUGAAGAACCAAUGGCUAAGGAGAAACUUGAAGAACCAAUUGUUGAGGAUAAACCUGAAAAAUCAGUGAUAGAGGAGAAAUCUGAAAAACUAGCAACUGAAGAAACACUUGGAGAGCAAGCAGGGGAGGAAACACCUGAAGCACUAGCAGUUGAAGAGAAACCUGACAAAUCAACAGUUGAAGAGACAGUUGAAGAACUAGCUAUUGAACAGAAACCUAAAAAAACAGCAGUUGAAAAAGAGAAACCUGAAGCCGUAACUCUCCUGGAAAAGGUGAUCAAGCACUGUCACAGAGAUUCCUUGCUCUAUACG